CUCAGGAUGAACGCUGGCGGCGUGCCUAAUACAUGCAAGUGAAACGGGUAUCUUCGGAUACCAGUCGCGGACGGGUGAGUAAUACAUAGGCAACCUGCCUUUAUGAGGGGGGAUAACCGAGGGAAACUUUGGCUAAUACCGCAUGAAGACUCUAAGGCAUCUUAGAGGGAUAAAAGUUGGGAAACAACGCAUGAAGAUGGGCUUAUGGCGCAUUAGCUAGUUGGUGAGAUAGAAGCCCACCAAGGUAAUGAUGCGUAGCCGACCUGAGAGGGUGAACGGCCACAUUGGGACUGAGACACGGCCCAAACUCCUACGGGAGGCAGCAGUAGGGAAUUUUCGGCAAUGGGGGGAACCCUGACCGAGCAACGCCGCGUGAAAGGAAGAAGGUUUUCGGAUUGUAAACUUCUGUUAUAAGGGAAGAACGGAUUGGAUAGGGAAUGAUCUGAUAGUGACGGUACCUUAUUAGAAAGCCACGGCUAACUACGUGCCAGCAGCCGC
rnacentral:rRNA from 1 species